CUGGGAUAACAAGAAAAAUUGGAUUUUCUGGAAUACAAAAUCCUUGAGUUAAGAGAGUUUAAAUUAUUAUUCAAAGUUCAAGCAAACUCUCUUUUUAACCAAUCUCAGUCAUUCCCAACUUCUUCCCUUUUUCCUUUUUGCAUUGAGUUCACUUUGCAUGCUUUUUCUUUUCUUCUUUUCUUUUCUUUCUCAUGCAUUUUUCUUUUUUUUUUAACUUUUGAGCUCAAUGUUUUUCUUUUUAUUUUGCCUUUCACUUUCCCCAUACAACCCCAAAUUUGAACCUUUUUCAACACAUACAAUUAUUCUCAACCAAAUUCAAACAAGGGUUUUCAUAAUGUUUAAGGCCA
rnacentral:lncRNA from 1 species